CUUUCGUUCCAGAUGAAGAAUGCCUCGAAGAUCACCUCUAAAAAAUCCAAGAUCUGGUACCCAACUAGAUUAGGCCUGGAUCGAGGUCUUUCAAUUCAUAGAUCUUGAAUCAAAAUAUUCUAGAUAAGAAAGAAGAUAGAUAGAACCAGACCUUGCAAUCUGUCCUACUGCAGCCUUUUCUGUAGAUCUGUUGAUGAAGAUCUCACCCGUGCCUCAAACAACCUCAGAUCAACUCCUGAUCUGAGAAGAAUUUGUACCAACCUCUUUGCAAGAGAUUCCAAAUCCUAGACCUGAUGUUUGGGUGGCUGCAAGAGAGGGAGAGACAAAAGGGUUGGCGGCACAAAGGGGGAGGGGCUCAAAACCCUAGUGCCUCCCCUGCUUUUCCUGCCUUCUAUGGAUCUGGCGGCAAGAAACCCUAGGGUUUCUUGCUCCUGGGGCAUGGAGAAUAGCUGAAGAGAGAGGAAGAAGAGAGAGAGAGACUUGGGAGAAAGGAUUUUCGUAUUCCUUGGCUUAAUCAAAUCUAUACAGUACAUGUAUAUAUAAACACAGGGUCAAGUAACCCAAACCCAAAACUCCCUUGACCAACUCUACGGGAGAUUAGGUUAACCUAAGCCCAUGUACACCCAUGACUCGACCUAAUCUCACCUAUUCUGGGCCCAGACCUGGUCCAUAAAGAGUUGGUCCCUUGAGGCCUACAUAACCUAGACCUCAAGAACCCGAAAGGCCCACAACCUUUCAACCUAGGGCCCAACUAGCCCUAGAGCCUCCAUGAAGCCCUCAUGAAUGAUGGACCUUGGCCUUAGCCUUGGUCCCCUGGGCCUUGGGCACACCACC
rnacentral:lncRNA from 1 species